rnacentral:rRNA from 1 species
CGGGGUGAGUAACGCGUGGGUAACCUGCCUCAUACAGGGGGAUAACGGUUAGAAAUGACUGCUAAUACCGCAUAAGCGCACAGUACCGCAUGGUACGGUGUGAAAAACUACCGGUGGUAUGAGAUGGACCCGCGUCUGAUUAGCUAGUUGGUGAGGUAACGGCCCACCAAGGCGACGAUCAGUAGCCGACCUGAGAGGGUGACCGGCCACAUUGGGACUGAGACACGGCCCAG